rnacentral:tRNA from 1 species
GGAGAGGUGACCGAGUGGCCGAAGGUGGCGGUCUUGAAAACCGCUGUACCGCAAGGUACCGGGGGUUCGAAUCCCUCCCUCUCCG